rnacentral:rRNA from 1 species
AUUGAACGCUGGCGGCAGGCCUAACACAUGCAAGUCGAGCGGCAGCGGAAAGUAGCUUGCUACUUUGCCGGCGAGCGGCGGACGGGUGAGUAAUGUCUGGGAAACUGCCUGAUGGAGGGGGAUAACUACUGGAAACGGUAGCUAAUACCGCAUAACGUCGCAAGACCAAAGAGGGGGACCUUCGGGCCUCUUGCCAUCAGAUGUGCCCAGAUGGGAUUAGCUAGUAGGUGGGGUAACGGCGCACCUAGGCGACGAUCCCUAGCUGGUCUGAGAGGAUGACCAGCCACACUGGACCUGAGACACGGUCAAGACUCCUACGGGGGGCAGCAGUGGGGAAUAUUGCGCAAUGGGCGCAAGCCUGAUGCAGCCAUGCCGCGUGUAUGAAGAAGGCCUUCGGGUUGUAAAGUACUUUCAGCGGGGAGGAAGGUGUUGAGGUUAAUAACCUCAGCAAUUGACGUUACCCGCAGAAGAAGCACCGGCUAACUCCGUGCCAGCCGCCGCCGUAACAC